rnacentral:rRNA from 1 species
GACGUAGGAUGCAAGCGUUGUCCGGAUUUAUUGGGCGUAAAGAGUUCGUAGGUGGUUUGUUAAGUCUGGUGUAAAAGGCUGGGGCUCAACCCUGGUACCGCACUGGAUACUGGCAGACUGGAGUGCAGUAGAGGCAAGCGGAAUUCCCAGUGUAGCGGUGAAAUGCGUAGAUAUUGGGAAGAACACCGGUGGCGCAAGCGGCUUGCUGGGCUGUUACUGACACUGAGGAACGAAAGCUAGGGGAGCAAAUGGG